rnacentral:rRNA from 1 species
GACAUAGGUCGCGAACGUUAUCCGGUUUUAUUGGGCGUAAAGGGCGCGUAGGUGGCGCUGCAAGUCGGUGGUGAAAGCUCGAUGCUUAACAUCGAGUCGGCCAUCGAAACUGCAGGGCUGGAGCACUGUAGGGGCAGAUGGAAUUCCGGGUGUAGCGGUGGAAUGCGUAGAGAUCCGGAAGAACACCGGUGGCGAAGGCGGCCUGCUGGGCAGUUGCUGACACUGAGGCGCGACAGCGUGGGGAGCAAACAGG